UACGUAGGGUGCAAGCGUUGUCCGGAAUUAUUGGGCGUAAAGAGCUCGUAGGCGGCUUGUCGCGUCGGCUGUGAAAACCUGGGGCUCAACCCCGGGCCUGCAGCCGAUACGGGCAGACUAGAGUCCGGCAGGGGAGACUGGAAUUCCUGGUGUAGCGGUGAAAUGCGCAGAUAUCAGGAGGAACACCGGUGGCGAAGGCGGGGCUCUGGGCCGGAACUGACGCUGAGGAGCGAAAGCGUGGGGAGCGAACAGG
rnacentral:rRNA from 1 species